GUGCCAGCAGCCGCGGUAAUACGUAGGGGGCGAGCGUUGUCCGGAAUCAUUGGGCGUAAAGCGCGUGUAGGCGGCUCGAUAAGUCCGGUGUGAAACCUUGGGGCUCAACCCCAAGCCUGCACUGGAUACUGCCGAGCUAGAGUCCGGGAGGGGAGAGCGGAAUUCCUAGUGUAGCGGUGAAAUGCGCAGAUAUUAGGAAGAACACCGGUGGCGAAGGCGGCUCUCUGGAACGGUACUGACGCUGAGACGCGAAAGCGUGGGGAGCGAACAGGAUUAGAUACCCCUGUAGUCC
rnacentral:rRNA from 1 species